UCAGCUGAGCUCCUCACACACCCUGCCACACCUGAGCUGCCACACUGGCUGCUUCCAAGAAGUUUUCGAAGCCAAUCCCCACCAGCCUGGGAGUUUCAGGGAGGGGAAGGCGAGAUAGCUAAAGGCAGCCCAGGGUGAGGGCUGAAUUCUGCCCUCUGGAAGCCACCCUUCCUUGCUUCCAGCUAGAGGGAACCUGGAAAACAGGACAGAGAGAUGAGCCAAGCAGAGGAAACCCCUCUCUUCCCACCAGCAGCACUCAUCUCCCCUACCCCAACAAAGGGACUCCAAUUCA